AGAUAGAGAGAGACAUGGGGGUGGUGGUGAUUUUUUCUGGAACCCAAGGCACUGAUCAGUGUGCUCUGCUACUUCUAUUGCUUUCUUUGUCCUUUUUACCCUUUAUCCCUCCUCCCCCUAGCAUUUUUAUCUCUUUCUUUUCUUUGCUUAUUUCUCAUUCACUAAGAUCAUGCUAAACCUCUUUCUCUCUCUCUCUCACCCCUCUUUUCUCUCCUUCCCCAUCUCUUUCGAAACCAGUCCUUGGGUUAAUUGGGUUCUUGAGAAGCUAUAUAUCUUUUGAGGGGAAUGUCGUCUGGCUCGAGGCCACUAACUAGAUCUAUAAUUUUUAUCUCUGAAUUGAUUUAUUUUUGUUGAGAUAUAAUUAAUCAUGAGCUAGUGACGUCGGACCAGGCUUCAUUCCCCCCAAUUGCUGCUUCCUUUCAAGCUGAUCUCUAUCCGGUAUGCCAAUUUUCGGUCUCGACAAUCUCAAAAGGAUGUGAUAGAUGGAUACCAAGAUUACCUUUUUUGAAGUUUGUGCUUCAUUCUAGCCCUGUUGCUUAAAGAAAGGUGAAUUUAAAGAACAUCUCGCAGCUGUAAUUUAGUACAAUGGCGAACCCAUUAGUUGAUAUGACAAUCUAUCUAUAAAUGUGGUUUAAUUUGUACAUAAAACUACGAUAUUGUGUU